CCAUGCCGCGUGUGUGAAGAAGGCCUUUUGGUUGUAAAGCACUUUAAGCGAGGAGGAGGCUACCUAGAUUAAUACUUUAGGAUAGUGGACGUUACUCGCAGAAUAAGCACCGGCUAACUCUGUGCCAGCAGCCGCGGUAAUACAGAGGGUGCGAGCGUUAAUCGGAUUUACUGGGCGUAAAGCGUGCGUAGGCGGCCAAUUAAGUCAAAUGUGAAAUCCCCGAGCUUAACUUGGGAAUUGCAUUCGAUACUGGUUGGCUAGAGUAUGGGAGAGGAUGGUAGAAUUCCAGGUGUAGCGGUGAAAUGCGUAGAGAUCUGGAGGAAUACCGAUGGCGAAGGCAGCCAUCUGGCCUAAUACUGACGCUGAGGUACGAAAGCAUGGGGAGCAAACAGGAUUAGAUACCCUGGUAGUCCAUGCCGUAAACGAUGUCUACUAGCCGUUGGGGCCCUUGAGGCUUUAGUGGCGCAGCUAACGCGAUAAGUAGACCGCCUGGGGAGUACGGUCGCAAGACUAAAACUCAAAUGAAUUGACGGGGGCCCGCACAAGCGGUGGAGCAUGUGGUUUAAUUCGAUGCAACGCGAAGAACCUUACCUGGCCUUGACAUACAGAGAACUUUCCAGAGAUGGAUUGGUGCCUUCGGGAACUCUGAUACAGGUGCUGCAUGGCUGUCGUCAGCUCGUGUCGUGAGAUGUUGGGUUAAGUCCCGCAACGAGCGCAACCCUUUUCCUUAUUUGCCAGCACUUCGGGUGGGAACUUUAANGAUACUGCCAGUGACAAACUGGAGGAAGGNGGGGACGACGUCAAGUCAUCAUGGCCCUUACNGCCAGGGCUACACACGUGCUACAAUGGUCGGUACAAAGGGUUGCUACACAGCGAUGUGAUGCUAAUCUCAAAAAGCCGAUCGUAGUCCGGAUUGGAGUCUGCAACUCGACU
rnacentral:rRNA from 1 species